rnacentral:rRNA from 1 species
AAAGUAAAAGGUUCGAAGGCGAUCAGAUACCGCCCUAGUUCUAACCAUAAACGAUGCCAGCCAGCGAUCCGGCUGUGUUCCUCAAAUGACACGCCGGGCAGCUUCCGGGAAACCAAAGCUUUUGGGUUCCGGGGGAAGUAUGGUUGCAAAGCUGAAACUUAAAGGAAUUGACGGAAGGGCACCACCAGGAUUGGAGCCUGCGGCUUAAUUUGACUCAACACGGGAAAACUUACCCGGCCCGGACACAGGAAGGAUUGACAGAUUAAGAGCUCUUUCUUGAUUCUGUGGGUGGUGGUGCAUGGCCGUUCUUAGUUGGUGGUGCGAAUUGUCUGGUUAAUUCCGAUAACGAACGAGGCUCUAGCCUACUAAAUAGACGUUCCGAUCAUCUACGUCGGACGUUCUUCUUAGAGGGACAAGUGGCGUUUAGCCGCACGAGACAGAGCGAUAACAGGUCUGUUAUGCCCUUGGAUGUCCGGGGCCGCACGCGCGCUACAUUGAAGGAAUCAGCGUGUGCUUUCCCUGUCCGACAGGACUGGGUAACCCGUUGAACCUCCUUCGUGCUGGGGAUAGGAGCCUGUAAUUGUUCUCCUUGAACGAGGAAUUCCCAGUAAGCAUGAGUCAUCAGCUCGUGUUGAUUACGUCCCUGCCCUUUGUCCACACCGCCCGUCGCUACUACCGAUUGAAUGAUUUAGUGAGGUCUUCGGACUGGCGCUCGGAGCGGCCUUCGGGUCGCGCCGGCGUGCCGGAAAGAUGACCAAACUUGAUCAUU